AGCAUAUCAAUAAGCGGAGGAAAAGAAACCAACAGGGAUUGCCUCAGUAACGGCGAGUGAAGCGGCAACAGCUCAAAUUUGAAAUCUGGCCCCCAGGCCCGAGUUGUAAUUUGCAGAGGAUGCUUUGGGCGCGGCGCCUUCCGAGUUCCCUGGAACGGGACGCCACAGAGGGUGAGAGCCCCGUCUGGUUGGAUGCCUAGCCUAUGUAAAGCUCCUUCGACGAGUCGAGUAGUUUGGGAAUGCUGCUCUAAACGGGAGGUAUAUGUCUUCUNNNNNNAAAUNNNGNCCAGAGACCGAUAGCGCACAAGUAGAGUGAUCGAAAGAUGAAAAGCACUUUGAAAAGAGGGUUAAAUAGUACGUGAAAUUGUUGAAAGGGAAGCGCUUACGACCAGACUUGGGCUCGGCGGAUCACCCGGCGUUCUUCGCCGGGGCACUCCGCCGGCUCAGGCCAGCAUCGGUUUGCCUCGGGGGACAAAGGCGGCGGGAACGUAGCUCCCUCGGGAGUGUUAUAGCCCGCCGUGUAAUACCNUGCGGCGGACCGAGGACCGCGCAUCUGCAAGGAUGCUGGCGUAAUGGUCGUCAGCG
rnacentral:rRNA from 1 species